rnacentral:rRNA from 1 species
UACGGAGGAGGCAAGCGUUAUCCGGAAUUAUUGGGCGUAAAGCGUCCGCAGGUGGCACCUCAAGUCUGCUGUCAAAGACCGGGGCUUAACCCCAGAAAGGCAGUGGAAACUGAAGUGCUAGAGUGCAGUAGGGGUAGAGGGAAUUCCCGGUGUAGCGGUGAAAUGCGUAGAUAUCUGGAGGAACACCGGUGGCGAAGGCGGCAUUCUGGACUGCAACUGACACUGAGGAACGAAAGCCAGGGGAGCAAACGGG